rnacentral:other from 1 species
CGCCUCCUGCUUGGUGCGUGCUGUGUCCGUUUGGACCCACAUCAUUUAUUUGGGAUGCUUGACUUCCCUGUUGGAUUGCAGACCUCCCGCCUGCGCUUUGACGUACGGCGGACGUUGGGAGCAGCUAAAACAUGGAGCGGCGACCCACCUGCCUUUUCGUGCAGGUCAUACUCGGAUGCACACGGCCAAAGCGGGUUCAA